rnacentral:rRNA from 1 species
GAUGAACGCUGGCGGCGUGCCUAAUACAUGCAAGUCGAGCGAACAGACGAGGAGCUUGCUCCUUUGACGUUAGCGGCGGACGGGUGAGUAACACGUAGGUAACCUACCUAUAAGACUGGGAUAACUUCGGGAAACCGGAGCUAAUACCGGAUAAUAUUUCGAACCGCAUGGUUCGAUAGUGGAAGAUGGCUUUGCUAUCACUUAUAGAUGGACCUGCGCCGUAUUAGCUAGUUGGUAAGGUAACGGCUUACCAAGGCAACGAUACGUAGCCGACCUGAGAGGGUGAUCGGCCACACUGGAACUGAGACACGGUCCAGACUCCUACGGGAGGCAGCAGUAGGGAAUCUUCCGCAAUGGGCGAAAGCCUGACGGAGCAACGCCGCGUGAGCGAUGAAGGUCUUCGGAUCGUAAAACUCUGUUAUUAGGGAAGAACAAACGUGUAAGUAACUGUGCACGUCUUGACGGUACCUAAUCAGAAAGCCACGGCUAACUACGUG